rnacentral:rRNA from 1 species
UACAGAGGUCUCCAGCGUUGUUCGGAUUUACUGGGCGUAAAGGGCGCGUAGGCGGUCAGCACAAGUCAGUUGUGAAAUCUCCGGGCUUAACUCGGAAAGGUCAACUGAUACUGUGCGACUAGAGUGCAGAAGGGGCAACUGGAAUUCUCGGUGUAGCGGUGAAAUGCGUAGAUAUCGAGAGGAACACCUGCGGCGAAGGCGGGUUGCUGGGCUGACACUGACGCUGAUGCGCGAAAGCCAGGGGAGCGAACGGG